rnacentral:tRNA from 1 species
CCGGUCUCCAAUUAAAAGACAAAUGAUUAUGCUACCUUUGCACAGUCAAAAUACUGCGGC